CAAGGAUGGAAGUACACUUCAAUAGGAGAAUGUCAUUUAUCUGAAAUGAUCGCACAAUAAAUUCAUAGAUACUAACAAGUCGAAAUUAAAACGCAGCUGGACAACAACAACAAAACAUAGUUGUGAAAUGCUAAACAAAACCAGGCUAACAAAUGCAUACAAGAAUAUUAUUGACAAACAAAAAAAAAAAACAGAAACAGAAACAAUACUUGCUAAAAUUAUCGAAUUGCACUCUGCAAAUAACCAAAUGAAAACAGUAAAAAGAUACAAGAAACAAGAAAGAUAUGCAGUGCCGAUGUGCACGAGUACGAGUACACAGGGAGAAAUAAUUGCUAGCCAUUAGAGGAAAUGAAAUACAUACAAUACAUAGAUGCCUAUAGCUACAACACAUACAUACAUACAUACAUACAUAUAUGAUGGUAUCAUACUAUAUCACACCCAAUUCAUCAUGUCUUUCCUGCUGAUCGUUCAGCGGUUAAACGGUGCUUCAAUAUAUACGGGUGCUUCAUAACUAGGCGCCAACAUAAAUUUUUAACUUGUAUAGUUAAUGCUAAUUGGCGAAUGAAAUGAAAUCAAUCAAAAGAGGAUUCUGUAGAACAUAAAGCAAUUUAAACGCAAUGAUAGUGUAGUCAAUUUUUCGAGUCCAAGCAGCAUCUCGACAAAUUUUAGGCAUUCAAAUUCGACCCACUUGAAAAAUUCGCAACUGGGCGAAAUACAUACAUAUACAUGUAUGUAUGUAUAUGUUGGCGAUCAUUAUAUAGCCGAUAUUUGUAGCGCUUUUGUCAGUAUUUUCCGAUCAGUGAUACAUUGCGGAUUGCCUUCCACGUUGUCACUUCGCAAACUUCGCAAAUGAGGAAAAGCCCACACUUCGCUGGCAAACAAAAGUUAUCUUUUCUAUCCGAGUACACUGACUUAAAAACUUAUCUUAAAAAGAUGAAGCCAACAUAACAUCAUUUGGAGGAAAACCAUAAGCUAAAAUUGUAUGAUAAUGUUAAACACAAGUAUAAAGUUAACUAUUUUUAAAUGAAAACAAAAAAAAAGAAGAAGAAAACUGAGUGUCAACAGCAACGAAUGCCGAAUGUAAAGAGCGUUAAAUGAAGUUAUUUCAAGAGAGUAUAGUUUUCAGAACAGAAGAAGGAUCGAUUGCAGAUAUUCAUGGAUACGAAAGAAAUAUAUAUCACUACAGUCAAACUUCCAUAACUCAGGCUUCUUCUCUAUUUGUAGUCGAAGAACUAUUUUCGUUGGCAACAAUCUAAAUCUAAAAAAUGCCUCCAAUCAAUGACCCAAUCAUGGGUAAUAAUAAUCGAAUUUCUUUUUUUUUUUUUUUGGUUUUUUUUGCUGCCAGAUGGCGGUUUGUGUUAUCGAAGUUCGACUGUAUCUUUGAAUUUCCAAAAAAAAAAACAAAAUAAAUAAACAAGUGCAAGCUAGAAUACAAGUUAGAUUUAACACAUUUUUAAACUAAAAUUAAAACAGCAAAAAGUUAACAGAAAAUUCAUGAGAACCGUAAAAAUUUAGGAUAAACAAAAAAUAUGUAAGACCGAAACUGGAAACAAUAAAAUGUUUACAUUUUAGCUAGUGCAAA
rnacentral:lncRNA from 1 species